rnacentral:rRNA from 1 species
UACGGGGGGGAGCAAGCGUUGUUCGGAUUUACUGGGCGUAAAGGGCGCGUAGGCGGCCACCGCAAGUCGGUUGUGAAAUCUCUGGGCUUAACCCAGAAAGGUCAACCGAUACUGCGGGGCUAGAGUGCAGAAGGGGCAACUGGAAUUCUCGGUGUAGCGGUGAAAUGCGUAGAUAUCGAGAGGAACACCUGCGGCGAAGGCGGGUUGCUGGGCCGACACUGACGCUGAGGCGCGAAAGCUAGGGGAGCGAACGGG